rnacentral:rRNA from 1 species
GACGUAGGGGGCCAGCGUUGCUCGGAAUUACUGGGCGUAAAGGGUUCGUAGGCGGUGUGGCAAGUCGGAAGUGAAAUCUCCAGGCUUAACUUGGAGGCUGCUUCCGAAACUGCCGUGCUAGAGUGCGGGAGAGGCCAGUGGAAUUGCAGGUGUAGCGGUGAAAUUCGUAGAUAUUGGGAAGAACACCGGUGGCGAAGGCGGCCAUCUGGACCGGUUCUGACGCUGAGGCGCGAAAGCGUGGGGAGCAAACAGG